AGCCCCAUAGUCUAGUGGUCAAGGAUACAGCCCUCUGGAGGCUGAGACCCCGGUUCGAAUCCGGGUGGGGCUA
rfam:Candidatus Pacearchaeota archaeon CG1_02_35_32 cg1_0.2_scaffold_2503_c, whole genome shotgun sequence.